rnacentral:rRNA from 1 species
GAUGAACGCUGGCGGCGUGCCUAAUACAUGCAAGUCGAGCGAACAGACGAGGAGCUUGCUCCUCUGACGUUAGCGGCGGACGGGUGAGUAACACGUGGAUAACCUACCUAUAAGACUGGGAUAACUUCGGGAAACCGGAGCUAAUACCGGAUAAUAUAUUGAACCGCAUGGUUCAAUAGUGAAAGACGGUUUUGCUGUCACUUAUAGAUGGAUCCGCGCCGCAUUAGCUAGUUGGUAAGGUAACGGCUUACCAAGGCAACGAUGCGUAGCCGACCUGAGAGGGUGGUCGGCCACACUGGAACUGAGACACGGUCCAGACUCCUACGGGAGGCAGCAGUCGGGAAUCUUCCGCAAUGGGCGAAAGCCUGACGGAGCACCGCCGCGUGAGUGAUGAAGGUCUUCGGAUCGUAAAACUCUGUUAUUAGGGAAGAACAAAUGUAUAAGUAACUAUGCACGUCUUGACGGUACCUAAUCAGAAAGCCACGGCUAACUACGUG